rnacentral:rRNA from 1 species
CGGCAAUGGAGGAAACUCUGACCGAGCAACGCCGCGUGAACGAUGAAGUAUUUCGGUACGUAAAGUUCUUUUAUUAGGGAAGAAUAAAUGAUGGAAAAAUCAUUCUGACGGUACCUAAUGAAUAAGCCCCGGCUAACUAUGUGCCAGCAGCCGCGGUAAUACAUAGGGGGCAAGCGUUAUCCGGAAUUAUUGGGCGUAAAGGGUGCGUAGGCUGUUAAAUAAGUUUAUGGUCUAAGUGCAAUGCUCAACAUUGUGAUGCUAUAAAAACUGUUUAGCUAGAGUAAGAUAGAGGCAAGUGGAAUUCCAUGUGUAGUGGUAAAAUGCGUAAAUAUAUGGAGGAACACCAGUAGCGAAGGCGGCUUGCUGGGUCUUUACUGACGCUGAGGCACGAAAGCGUGGGGAGCAAACAGGAUUAGAUACCCUGGUAGUCCACGCCGUAAACGAUGAGUACUAAACGUUGGGUAAAACCAGUGUUGAAGUUAACACAUUAAGUACUCCGCCUGAGUAGUACGUACGCAAGUAUGAAACUUAAAGGAAUUGACGGGACUCCGCACAAGCGGUGGAUCAUGUUGUUUAAUUCGAAGGUACCCGAAAAACCUCACCAGGUCUUGACAUGCUUCUGCAAAGCUGUAGAAACACAGUGGAGGUUAUCAGUUGCACAGGUGGUGCAUGGUUGUCGUCAGCUCGUGUCGUGAGAUGUUGGGUUAAGUCCCGCAACGAGCGCAACCCUUAUUGUUAGUUGCCAGCACGUAAUGGUGGGGACUUUAGCAAGACUGCCAGUGAUAAAUUGGAGGAAGGUGGGGACGACGUCAAAUCAUCAUGCCCCUUAUGACCUGGGCUACAAACGUGAUACAAUGGCUGUUACAAAGGGUAGCUGAA